GAGGGUAUAUCUCAGUGGUUGAGUGCGUGCUUAACAUGCAGGAGGUCCUGGGUUCAAUCCCCAGUCCCUCCA
rnacentral:tRNA from 1 species